rnacentral:rRNA from 1 species
GACGAGCUCCCCAAACGUUAUUCGGUAUUACUGGGCUUAAAGAGUUCGUAGGCGGCGAAGUAGGUGAGGUGUGAAAGCCCUCGGCUCAACCGAGGAACUGCGCUUCAAACCACUUUGCUAGAGGGAGAUAGGGGUAAGCGGAACAGAUGGUGGAACGGUGAAAUGUAUUGAUAUCAUCUGGAACACCGGUGGCGAAAGCGGCUUACUGGGUCUUUUCUGACGCUGAGGAACGAAAGCUAGGGUAGCGAACGGGAUUAGAUACCCCGGUAGUCCUAGCCGUAAACGAUGAGCACUAGUCUGAGGGACUUUCACGGUUUCUCGGACGUAGCGAAAGUGUUAAGUGCUCCGCCUGGGGAGUAUGGUCGCAAGGCUG